rnacentral:rRNA from 1 species
AGAAUCAACGCUGGCGGCGUGCCUAACACAUGCAAGUCGAACGCGAAAGUCCCGCAAGGGAUCAGUAGAGUGGCAAACGGGUGAGUAACGCGUGGGUGACCUGCCUUCGAGCGGGGGAUAACGUCCCGAAAGGGACGCUAAUACCGCAUAACAUCCUGUCUUUUAACAGGUGGAGAUCAAAGCUGGGGAUCGCAAGACCUAGCACUCGAAGAGGGGCCCGCGUCUGAUUAGCUAGUUGGUGAGGUAACGGCUCACCAAGGCGACGAUCAGUAUCCGGCCUGAGAGGGCGGACGGACACACUGGGACUGAGACACGGCCCAGACUCCUACGGGAGGCAGCAGUGGGGAAUUGUUCGCAAUGGGCGCAAGCCUGACGACGCAACGCCGCGUGGAGGAUGAAGACCUUCGGGUCGUAAACUCCUUUCGAUCGAGACGAAUGGCCUCCGGGUGAAUAAUCUGGAGGAGUGACGGUACCGAGAGAAGAAGCCCCGGCUAACUCCGUGCCAGCAGCCGCGGUAAUACGGGGGGGGCAAGCGUUGUUCGGAAUUACUGGGCGUAAAGGGCUCGUAGGCGGCCAACUAAGUCAGACGUGAAAUCCCUCGGCUUAACCGGGGAACUGCGUCUGAUGCUGGAUGGCUUGAGAUUGGGAGAGGGAUGCGGAAUUCCAGGUGUAGCGGUGAAAUGCGUAGAUAUCUGGAGGAACACCGGUGGCGAAGGCGGCAUCCUGGACCAACACUGACGCUGAGGAGCGAAAGCCAGGGGAGCAAACAGGAUUAGAUACCCUGGUAGUCCACGCCGUAACGUUGCGAACUAGUGUGGGGGGUAUUCACCCCUCCGGUGCCGAAGCUAACGUCUUAAGUUCGCCGCCUGGGAAGUACGGCCGCAAGGCUAA